rnacentral:rRNA from 1 species
GGAGGGUGCAAGCGUUAAUCGGAAUUACUGGGCGUAAAGCGCGCGCAGGCGGCUGGGUCAGUCGGAUGUGAAAGCCCCGGGCUUAACCUGGGAAUUGCAUUCGAUACUGCCCGGCUAGAGUAUGGGAGAGGGAAGUGGAAUUUCCGGUGUAGCGGUGAAAUGCGUAGAUAUCGGAAGGAACACCAGUGGCGAAGGCGGCUUCCUGGCCCAAUACUGACGCUCAGGUGCGAAAGCGUGGGGAGCGAACAGGGAUUAGAUACCCUGGUAGUCCACGCUGUAAACGAUGAGAACUAGAUGUUGGGAGGGUUAGCCUCUCAGUGUCGCAGCUAACGCGUUAAGUUCUCCGCCUGGGAGUACGACCGCAAGGUUG